rnacentral:miRNA from 1 species
UGACUCUGUACAUGGCAUUUAU